CACGUAGGGUGCGAGCGUUGUCCGGAAUUAUUGAGCGUAAAGAGCUCGUAGGCGGUGUGUCGCGUCGGCCGUGAAAACCUGCAGCUUAACUGUGGGCUUGCGGUCGAUACGGGCAUCACUGGAGUUCGGCAGGGGAGACUGGAAUUCCUGGUGUAGCGGUGAAAUGCGCAGAUAUCAGGAGGAACACCGGUGGCGAAGGCGGGUCUCUGGGCCGAUACUGACGCUGAGGAGCGAAAGCGUGGGGAGCGAACAGG
rnacentral:rRNA from 1 species